AAUGGUUUACAAAAAAUGUUUUUAGUAGAAAUUUUAUAGUAAUUUAAAUAUUGCAUAACGGAAAGCUUGAUUGAUGAGUAGUACUGACGUGAUAGACUUUCCUUAUAAUGCUAAGUAUUUUUUAAAAAAUGAACCUUUACCAAGUUUUGUACUCAUAUACAGAUCAGUCUAAGAACACCCUCAAGAGAGUAACAGAUGGGUUUUGUAUAAUAGAGACAUUGAGCUUUUUAAGCAUGAAAAUUUUGUCAUGUUUGAUGAAGAUAUUUUGUCAAAUGAAGAUAAUGAGGUUCCCAAAUGGAAAAAAAAGAACAAAAAUUAACAUGAAUACAAAAUGUUUUUAAAAACUAUCAAAGAUUAACUAAAUUGGUUGGCUGUCCCUGGAUAAAGCUACUAUAUAUUUUAGUGAUCUAUAUAUUUAGGGUGCAAAGCAGAAAGUAUGAAGAUGUGUCUGUCUGCCUCCCACCUUUAAAUUGACACAGGUAAUUCAAUAUAUUAUUACUGAUUACAAUUCUAUAAUGCGAGUGGCUGGGGAUUUAGCUGAAUGGUUUCGCCGCGUGCUGCGCAAGCGGAAGGGUCUGAGUUUGAUCCCGGCACCAAAAAAAAAAAAAAAAAAUUCUAUAGUGCGAUUGCCUGUGAACAUUUAAAAAGAAAUUUCCUCUAGCCAAAGUGUGGUGUUGCAUGCCUGUGUUCCCACUAUUCAGGAGGCUGAGGUAGGAUGAUUGCUCAGUUCGAGAUCAGACUGUCUCAAACCCCCACCCCCGCAUUUUCUCUAAUAUAAAAGAUACUGUUAUAACAAAGAAACUGAUCUAUUUCCUUUUCUUCUGGGUUGCACUUUCCCAUUGGAUAUUAAACACAGCAGCAACAGAGCCUGCUUUUGUAAUCUUUAAGAGAAUGCUGUUACAUGGAAGGAAUUUGGGUUUUUACUUUUCAAGCCAGUUCUAAGCCUGUUUCUUAUGAUAGUUGAUAAUCUGUUUAUUUUCUGGUAUCCUUAGCCAUUACUUUAUAAAAUGAAGACUGGAGCUCAAGAGAUUUAAAACCCUUUAACAAAUGGCCCUGAGUCCAAGAAUGGCACAUUGUCCUUUUGUAAUGCACAAUGUCUUUUUGUAAUUGCCCUUUAUGCCCCCCCCCCUCCAAAAUAAACACCAAACUCUCCCUUUUUCCUUCCUAUUCUCUCUGUUUGUUUUUUAAGACAGGGUCUAGCUAUGUAGUUCAGGCUGGCCUCAAAUUCACUAUGUAGCCCAGGCUGACCUUGAACUCACAGCGACCCUCCUGCCUCACCCUCCUAAGUGCUGGGAUUAUAGGCAUGUGCCACCACACCCAGCUUCAUUCUCUCUUUUGUAUACUCUUUCCUUGAAAACAGAUCAGGGAGAAAAAAUAUGUAUAAAUAUGCAAUUAUUGUGCUUAGUACCAAUACCCUUAGCAUUGCUUCCUAACAUAGCAUCUCUACCAUUAACUGUAUGCUAUAAGUUCCUGACUUUCUAGAUGUCAGUCAUUUUAGCCUCUAAAAAGUACUUAGUUUAGCAUAGUGGUACAUAUCUAUAGUGCCAUCUAUUUGGGAUACUAAAGCAGGAGGAUCACACAUCUGAGCUUAGUCUGGACAACUUAGCAAGGCCCUGUCUCUUAAGAAGGGGUGGGAAGUAGCUCUUUGUAUGGUAGAAAACCCCAGGGUGCAGUCUUUAGUCCCAUUUAACAAAAACAAAAUGGGAAAAGGGUAAAGGUACCAAGUUUUAUUACUUAUGGUAAAUAAUGUUUUGAUCCUUUGUCAAAUGAAAAUAAUCUUUUAAAAAUUCUAUACAAAUGUUUGUAAACAUGUAUGUAAAUAU
rnacentral:lncRNA from 1 species